rnacentral:rRNA from 1 species
GACGAACCGUGCGAACGUUAUUCGGAAUCACUGGGCUUAAAGGGCGCGUAGGCGGGCGGCCAAGUCAGGGGUGAAAGCCCCCAGCUCAACUGGGGAAGUGCCUUUGAUACUGGUUGUCUCGAGGGAGGUAGGGGCGUGCGGAACUUCCGGUGGAGCGGUGAAAUGCGUAGAUAUCGGAAGGAACGCCGGUGGCGAAAGCGGCGCGCUGGACCUCUUCUGACGCUGAGGCGCGAAAGCUAGGGGAGCGAACGGG